rnacentral:tRNA from 1 species
GCCGGGGUGGCGGAAUUGGUAGACGCGUUGGUCUCAAAAACCAAUGAGGCUUUCCUCGUGCCGGUUCGACUCCGGCCCUCGGCACAA